AAACCUUCGCAAUGCGCGAAAGCGUGACGAGGUUAAUCCGAGUGGUUCCCGCUGAGGGAAUCUUUUGUCGGCUCUAAAAAGGCCGGCGAAUAAGGGGAGGGCAAGUCUGGUGUCAGCCGCCGCGGUAAUACCAGCUCCUCGAGUGGUCGGGGCGAUUAUUGGGCCUAAAGCAUCCGUAGCCGGUUCUGUAGGUCCUCUGUUAAAUCCAACGGCUUAACCGUUGGCCCGCAGAGGAUACCGCAGGACUAGGAGGCGGGAGAGGCAGACGGUACUCUACGUGUAGGGGUAAAAUCCUUUGAUCCGUAGAAGACCACCAGUGGCGAAGGCGGUCUGCCAGAACGCGCUCGACGGUGAGGGAUGAAAGCUGGGGGAGCGAACCGGAUUAGAUACCCGGGUAGUCCCAGCCGUAAACGAUGCGAGCUAGAUGAUUC
rnacentral:rRNA from 1 species